CGUCCUAUAGUGUAGUUGGUUAUCACCCUGGGUUCUGAUUCCAGUAACCCCAGUUCGAAUCUGGGUAGGACGA